rnacentral:rRNA from 1 species
UACGUAGGGGGCAAGCGUUGUCCGGAUUUAUUGGGCGUAAAGAGCGUGUAGGCGGCCUGAAAGGUCAGCUGUGAAAACUCGAGGCUCAACCUCGAGACGUCGGUUGAAACCAUCUGGCUAGAGUCCGGAAGAGGAGUGUGGAAUUCCCGGUGUAGCGGUGAAAUGCGCAGAUAUCGGGAAGAACACCCGUGGCGAAGGCGGCACUCUGGGCCGUAACUGACGCUGAGGAGCGAAAGCAUGGGGAGCGAACAGG